GGAAGACCUAAAAAUAGAUGGCAAAAAGCCAACCGAGCUUGGUGAUAGCUGGUUACUCAACAAAUGAACCUUAGUUCAACUUUAGGUGCCCAUGGGCCAACUACUUUAACCCACCACCCUUUAACCUAAAGAAAUUCAAUGGGGGUACAGCCCCAUUGAACCGGAAUACAACCCGAAUUGAGAGAUACCCACUAAACUUUAACCCUAACAGUAGGCCCCAAAGCAGCCACCAACUAAACGCGUUACAGCUACAACAAAACAAUUUUUACAAUAAUACACACCUCCUAAUAUACCACGAGUUAUUCUAUUUUCUAAUAGAAACACCAAUGCUAAAAUUAGUAAUAAGAAACCCUAAUUUCUCUCCGCACCCCCUUAAAUCAGAAUAGAAAAACUACUGAUAAUUAACACAACACGACCUACAACAACUAGCUAACAUGUCAACUAAAAUCUGUUACCCCAACACAGGAGUGCAAAAAAGAAAGGCAAAAAGCCAUAAAAGGAACUCGGCAAACCCUACCGUCCCAACUGUUUACCAAAAACAUAGCCUUUAGCUCAACAAGUAUUAAAGGUCCCGCCUGCCCAGUGACUCUUUAAACGGCCGCGGUAUCCUAACCGUGCAAAGGUA
rnacentral:rRNA from 1 species